rnacentral:rRNA from 1 species
GCGAACGGACGAGAAGCUUGCUUCUCUGAUGUUAGCGGCGGACGGGUGAGUAACACGUGGAUAACCUACCUAUAAGACUGGGAUAACUUCGGGAAACCGGAGCUAAUACCGGAUAAUAUUUUGAACCGCAUGGUUCAAAAGUAAAAGACGGUCUUGCUGUCACUUAUAGAUGGAUCCGCGCUGCAUUAGCUAGUUGGUAAGGUAACGGCUUACCAAGGCAACGAUGCAUAGCCGACCUGAGAGGGUGAUCGGCCACACUGGAACUGAGACACGGUCCAGACUCCUACGGGAGGCAGCAGUAGGGAAUCUUCCGCAAUGGGCGAAAGCCUGACGGAGCAAUGCCGUGUGAGUGAUGAAGGUCUUCGGAUCGUAAAACUCUGUUAUUAGGGAAGAACAUAUGUGUAAGUAACUGUGCACAUCUUGACGGUACCUAAUCAGAAAGCCACGGCUAACUACGUGCCAGCAGCCGCGGUAAUACGUAGGUGGCAAGCGUUAUCCAGAAUUAUUGGGCGUAAAGCGCGCGUAGGCGGUUUUUUAAGUCUGAUGUGAAAGCCCACGGCUCAACCGUGGAGGGUCAUUGGAAACUGGAAAACUUGAGUGCAGAAGAGGAAAGUGGAAUUCCAUGUGUAGCGGUGAAAUGCGCAGAGAUAUGGAGGAACACCAGUGGCGAAGGCGACUUUCUGGUCUGUAAC